AGUGAACGCUGGCGGUAGGCCUAACACAUGCAAGUCGAACGGCAGCACAGUAAGAGCUUGCUCUUACGGGUGGCGAGUGGCGGACGGGUGAGGAAUACAUCGGAAUCUACUUUUUCGUGGGGGAUAACGUAGGGAAACUUACGCUAUUCCCCCUACCUCCCUUCGGUUCAAAUACGGGUUUUUUCGACCCUUUCCCAUUUGAUUAACCCGAUUCCGGAUUAGCUAGUUGGCGGGGUAAAGGCCCCCCAAGCCGACGAUCCGUAGCUGGUCUGAGAGGAUGAUCAGCCACACUGGAAGUGAGACACGGUCCAGACUCCUACGGGAGGCAGCAGUGGGGAAUAUUGGACAAUGGGCGCAAGCCUGAUCCAGCCAUACCGCGUGGGUGAAGAAGGCCUUCGGGUUGUAAAGCCCUUUUGUUGGGAAAGAAAAGCAGCAGGUUAAUACCCCGCUGUUCUGACGGUAACCAAAGAAUAAGCACCGGCUAACUUCGUG
rnacentral:rRNA from 1 species